GUGCUCACUUUGGCAGCACGUAUACUAAAAUUGGAACUAAACAGAGAUUAGCAUGCCCCCAGCGCAAGGUUCACAUGCAAAUCUGUGAAGCAUUUUGUAUAAAG